UGGGGAAUAUUGCACAAUGGAGGGAACUCUGAUGCAGCGACGCCGCGUGAACGAAGAAGGCUUUCGAGUCGUAAAGUUCUUUUAUAUGGGAAGAUAAUGACGGUAUCAUAAGAAAAAGCCCCGGCUAACUACGUGCCAGCAGCCGCGGUAAUACGUAGGGGGCUAGCGUUGUCCGGAAUCACUGGGCGUAAAGGGUUCGCAGGCGGAAAUGCAAGUCAGGUGUAAAAGGCAGUAGCUUAACUACUGUAAGCAUUUGAAACUGCAUAUCUUGAGAAGAGUAGAGGUAAGUGGAAUUUUUAGUGUAGCGGUGAAAUGCGUAGAUAUUAAAAAGAAUACCGGUGGCGAAGGCGACUUACUGGGCUCCUUCUGACGCUGAGGAACGAAAGCGUGGGUAGCAAACAGG
rnacentral:rRNA from 1 species